rnacentral:rRNA from 1 species
AUGUCAGCGAGCAGCACGCCGGUGGACGCCUCGGGCGAGCCGAUCCCAACGUCGUCGGUGCUGAUGGCGGCGUCCAAGCACAUCGCGGUGCGGUGCCGGCCGGAGAACGUGGCCUUCCUCAACUGCAAGAAGAAGGACCCCAACCCCGAGAAGUGCCUCGAGAAGGGCCGCCAGGUCACGCGCUGCGUCUUCAACCUGUUGAAAGAACUUCACCAAAAGUGCCCCAAGGAGAUGGAUGCGUAUGCUGGGUGCAUGUAUUACUACACGAAUGAAUUUGACUUCUGCCGCAAGGAGCAGGAAGCUUUCGAGGGUGCGUGCCCUAUUUCCGAGUAG